GAAGCGGUGGACGCAACCCAUUACGGGGC
rnacentral:sRNA from 1 species